CCCAGCAGACCCAUUUGCGCAUCUUAUUCAUAUUUGUAUAGAUUUUUAUACAAAUCUAAAUCACUUGUUUUCGGUAGGAAAAAAUACUGUAAGCCGACGGGUUCCGUAAUACAAUUGCGGCCAGACCCUCGCCACUGAAUAGGUACUACCCCUCGCGGCUCAAGCAGACCGGCCGUUCUGCGCCUCCUGUCAAAGGGCCAGCUCGUGGAUUGCUAGCUUUGAUGACUUGAACCGCUGAGGCCACCUUCGUCCAUGCAUCGUGCUCUACCCAAACCCAAAUCCUUCUCGUGCAUGCAGGCAACACUGCAAUAGCCAUGGCUGCCACUUGACUUCGUCGAGCCCGCGCCGAUCUGUCCUAUCGAUGAUGAUGGGGAACGCCUGUGAAGUCUCCCACUCAGCAGUCAGCACCCAGGUUUUUUUUUUUUUGAGCGUCCUCCGACUCUUGCUUGGAACCUGGGAGUCUGGGUCUCUGGGACACGGACGGACAAACGGAACCAGGUCCAACCCAAUCUGUGUAUUGCAUCCAUGCCGGCCGCUUCCUCCGAGCCCAGAGGCGGACGCCAGCACCGCACUGCAGUAAUGGGCUUGGCCCAGAUACAGGAGGGGAUCGAGGUGGGUUGGGUUUGAUCAAGGGAUAGAUUGGCUUGCUGGAUUCGGCCCGGCCGAGUGCACCGAGAUGUUUUCGUUUUUUUUUCAAAACAGAAAAGGAAUUGAGAAAUUAAAAAAGCACUAAAAUAAGAUCAAACAAAAUUCUGAGAAAUAAAUAAAUUCCAAUUCAUAUUUAUAGGGAGUGUCUAUUUCUCAGUCGCCUAAGAAUAGUUAUUUUUCAACCGACAAUCGUAACCAUCUAAUGAAAAUUUUCUUAUCCAUCGGACCUACAUUAAUAUUACAUGAAUCUCAAUGAUUGAAUGAAUCAAAAGGUUGUUAGCAUCGACUAACAAAUAUUAUUUCUCAGUCACCUAAAAAAUAGCAAAACCGAUAUUUAUAUGGAGUAAAAUUUGAAUGAAAUCAUUUACUUUUCUUCUAUACAACUCAGCU
rnacentral:lncRNA from 1 species